GCCAUUUUAGGUAAAUCAUAUAGAAAGUUGAAUAAUACUGAUUAUAGUUAUGUUGAGUAAAUAGGCAUUUUACUAACAUGGAUUGGGUUAAUAUUUUUGUCCACAACAGUCCCGCCUUAAAAUGACUAUUUGCGAAAGAGAGUGAAAGGGAGAGAGAAAGAGACAACUACUAACUGACCCUAACGAUGUUCCUAAUUGGCUGCAGUUCAUCUGUCUGAACAGGCCU